rnacentral:misc_RNA from 1 species
AAAGUCGUAACAAGGUUUCCGUAGGUGAACCUGCGGAAGGAUCAUUAACAAAUUCCAAAACUCGUCUUGGGGGAAGCGUCAGCUGAACCUAUUAUGACAACUCACAUUUACCAAUUGACAACCAAUGGAGAACCAAAACUAUAAACGUUUAAACAACUUUUAACAAUGGAUCUCUUGGCUCUU